UCUUAGACAUCAAUCAUCCGACCAUCAGACUGUUCUCAUUCCGUUGUAUACCGAUCAUUAGCAAGAGGGCCGCUGUUUGCAGCAGCAUAUAGGUCCCAAAUAUGACCUAAAGAGUUGUGGUUUGUGUAUAUGGACCCAUAUCAUCUCCCCUGGAACCACUGGCUACACAGUGAGGUCAAUUGCUGACAUAUAUUUAAAAAUAUGAAAUGUCCCCCGUCAGGUCUGACACCUACAAUGUCUUUCAGAUGCAUUCUGGUCCUAACAAGUACAGCAAUAGACACACACAUACGAACACAUACAUCUGCUGUGGCCUUGUGUUCUAUCUCUCCCUCCCUGAGAGAAUUAAAACCUUCAGAUAAGACGACAGAGGGGCAAGAAACUCUGUCUAAGUUUAUUUUCUUUCAUCCCACCAUUUUCUAUUUGUCUCACUUACUGUCGUUCUUUCUCUGUUUCAAAGUUUUUUUUUCUCACUGCCCCCAGAGAAAGUACAUUAAGAGCAAAGUGCAUAUCUUCACACACAAACCUGCGGCUAGUCACUUCCAAACCAUACCGUUAGAUCAAAGGCUUCCCAGCAUGAACUUCAAAGUUGUCUAAAGUGUGUGAAAGUUAUACGUUGGUCAGUAAACAGAUCUUUACGCAGACUCCUGAAACGGUCACAAGGCAUUUCAAAAAAAAUAAUAAAAUACGGCAGAAUUCUCUGAAAGUCGUGUGUGGUUACUGCCUGCUGACGGAAAUUAAACCACAACCACAGUUCCUCCUAAUAACACACCCACGCAACCGAACAAACAUAGACACUCACAGACGCACGCACACACACAAGAACCAGCUUGAUCUUUAUUCAAAUACCCUCGGUGAAAGAAAAAUAGUACUUGAGUGGCCUUUAGGUCAUAUUUUGGGACGCUAUAUGCUGAUGCAAACACCCGGGCUCUUACUAAUGAUUUCCACCGGGAGGAGCAUGGCCUGGAGGUCAAAACGCUCCAUUAUAUUUACAUCCUAUGUCCGUGAGGUAUUUAGCACAGCACAGCCCGCCUAGAGACCUUCCACCAUCCAUACUUUCCUAGCUCUGCGUGCCAUCCCUGCUGACAGAUUUAUGUCUAUAUUGCUUGGGAAUUUUGUAUAUGGCUAUUUUAUGGCCAUUUCUUGGCUCAUGUAAUCUACCCAGCCUCACUGUCUGGUACGUUAGCCUUGCCCCCGAGUCAGAAUGGCCCGCCUGGCACGAAACCUGUUGCCGUGUAGCUUUUCCAGUGCUUACCUAGUAAUCCCCCCUGGUGGCCGCCCGACCGUGAGGAUACAACAUUGAAUGUGCCCGGGUCAGCAGGAAAGCAUAUGUGGCCAUAGGAAUGGGCCUGGAGCAGUAAAGCUUAACUUUAUGUCUGUAUCACACUGAACAAGAGAGACAGGAGCAGGCUCAUAGGCGGUGUGCUUAACAGUGUUUGUAUUGGUCACUACCAAUUGUGGUUAACAGUGGGCGCUACAAGUGUUGCUGAUUUGGCCGUUGAUGUGAAAGGCCUUUUUGUCAGACUAGCUGUGGCAUUUCGGGCUGGUGGUUGGUCAAUGGCCAUGUGUGGUUGGUUGGUUUAGAGGGCUGCCGUUUGAUGCGAUGCCAUCGGAUGAUGGCUACUGAAGAGGAAAGCACUUCCUGUGAUGUAAUGAUAGUUGCCCAAGAGGACUCACACGAGAGCCUCGGUUCCAGACACGACCAAGAUGAAAAGCAGAUUGUCACUGCCUGGUACAGCAUGUGUGUGGCUCUCCAGGAUCAGGAGCGGAGGCAGUCUGGGGGCUCCUCCCGAACUCCGGACCGAGCCCAGUCUUUCCUGGCCCAGCAGAGGCAGUCCACGCAUUCCAGGAGCAGGGGCGGGAAGGGUCGGUCCCCCACCCACCAGCCCACAUAGGAGCAGCCAACUCUGGGCAGAGGCAAAACGAGGUCCCUCUGUGGGGGAUAGCAGAGCUUAACACAGGAAUGAUGGGGAGUUUUAGAAAAUGAAGUUGCUGCCUGUGAAAAAUAAAGUUGUGUUCAAAUAAUGUUGACAUUGGCUCUCUCUGCUGGUCAAAAUCAGUAUUUGCAUUUUUAAUACUGACACAAUUCACUUUUAUUUUUUUACAAAGCAUCAACAGUAGUUAUAGCU
ensembl:lncRNA